rnacentral:rRNA from 1 species
AGAUGCGAUCAUAGCAGCACUAAAGCAUUGGAUCCCAUCAGAACUCCGAAGUUAAGCGUGCUUGGGCGAGAGUAGUACUAGGAUGGGUGACCUCCUCUGGGAAGUCCUCGUGUUGCAUUCC